rnacentral:lncRNA from 1 species
GGGGAGAACGGGCCUGGGGGGCGCUGAUAUAUGGGUGCCGCCGGGAUGGAUGCUCCCAACCAGUACGUAGGACCGCAUCCCAGUACGGAACCAUCACCAGUAUGGGAGCUUCAUCUCAGUAUGGAGCCUCUGUGCUGCAGUAAGGGGGCGCCCAUCCCAGUGUGGACCCUUCGUGCACCAGUAUGGGGGCGCCCAUCCCAGUAUGGACCCUUCGUGCACCAGUAUGGGGGCGCCCAUCUCAGUGUGAGCCCCCACACUGCUGUGGGAUCGCCGGUCCCACUGUGAGGCAAUGCAAAAGCACGAGCGCUUGUGCAAAACACUCAAUGCUGUGCGCACUCGUGCGAGGCUGUGCGUGCUCAUGCAAGGCCGUGCAUCCUCGUGCAAGGUCGUGCAUAUGCUUGUGCUGGACUGUGCGUGCUCGUGCGAUGCUCUGGGAGUGCUGCAGGGCCGUGCAAGCCCUGCACGCUCUGUCCUGCGCUGCAGGCUCGCUAGGUGUCGCCUCACCCAGCUCAGAGCAGCCCCUACAGCGCUGCAUGCACAGAUGUGCGCCCUCUGCUAUCCCCUCAAUCCAGGCUUCCCUGCCCGGAGCUCAGAGCUGACGCUCCCACCGCGG